GGAAAGGAUUCCAUGCCAUCAAUGUGCAAGCUGUGUGCGACGCUCAACUGCGAUUCACGAACAUCAUCGUCCAAUGGCCUGGAUCAACACAUGAUUCCCAUAUAUUUAAUAACUGCAAUUUGAAAUGCUGUCUCCAGGAAGGGAAAUAUGGCAUCUGGCUUCUUGGUGAUUCAGGGUAUGCAUGCAGACCCUACCUCCUGACUCCAGUCAGCAAUCCAGAAAAUGAAAAAGAGGAGAAA